rnacentral:miRNA from 1 species
UCCCUUGACGAUCCUGUUAAAAUGCAGGUUCUGGUUCAGUAGGUCUGGGGUGGGGCCUGAGAUUCUGCAUUUCUAACAAGAGCUUAGGUGAUUCCAAU